GACGGAGGGUGCUAGCGUUGUUCGGAAUUACUGGGCGUAAAGGGCGCGUAGGCGGCCUUCUCAGUCGGGUGUGAAAGCCCGGGGCUCAACCCCGGAACGGCACCCGAGACGGGAAGGCUGGAGACCGGGAGAGGAGGGUGGAAUAGCCAGUGUAGAGGUGAAAUUCGUAGAUAUUGGCUGGAACACCGGUGGCGAAAGCGGCUCUCUGGACAGUUCCUGACGCUGAGGCACGAAGGUCAGGGGAGCAAACGGG
rnacentral:rRNA from 1 species